AGUUCAGUUAAUAGGAGUUUAUGUAAGCCAUUAGGCUUGGUUUCACCUUUACAAUCUUCCCCUCUGUGCCCUCAUCUUCAAACUUCCACCAUGCCCUGGUGGAUUUUACCUCCAAAUUUCCACACCAAUCACUUUUCUCCUCCACUGCCACCCCAGUGGCCAGGUCACACUCAUGGUUUGCCUUUGUUACCUUGAGAGCCUCCUAACUUCUCUGUCUGCACCAAUUCUGCCCUCUCCUCACCCAGAGUCUGUUCUCCACGCUCUAACUAAAUCGAUGGUUUCAGCACCCAAGUCUGACCUUUUGCUCUUAGGCUGAAACUCAAAACCCUUCCCUUGGCCCCUGGCCACCUCUGCGGCCUCAUCCUGACCUUCCUCCUGUCUAUCCCCUUCGGCCUGAAGCCACGUUAACCUCACAGCAUCUUCCUUCCCUCCCCUCACCCGCCUGAUGAGCAAAGUUCAAAUGGCACUUCCUGGGAAAGUUUCCCUUGAGGACCCCAAUCUAGAACAAGUCUCUUUGUUUUAAGUUUUCAUUAGCCAUGUUUCUUUCCUUAAGAGCAAUUACCUUCAUUUUUAAUUACACAUUGAUGAGUGUGAUUAUUUGAUGAAGAUCCAUCUUCCCUAUGGGUCUCUAGGUUUCAUGAGAGCUGGGGCAAGUCUGCUCACUGCUGUGCAGCUAGGUCCUUCCAAGGUGCCUGGCACACAAACAGCUUCUCAUGGAACAUUUCUGAAUGAAUUUCAGAGAGGUAGACACUUGAGUGGGAAACACAGACAACUGACCUCAGCUUCCCUAAGGUCCUUUCCACUGGGGAGCCCGGCCUGGCCUGCGGAACCGCUGGCUCUUCUUUGUAAAGACCACACUGGUCACUGAUAGUUGCUAGUUAUGUGUGGGCUAUUCGGUGAGCUCUGGGAAAUAGAGCAGAGACACUGGCACCAGAGAGGCCGAAGUUCAAAUCCCUUCUCUACGCCACUCGAUGGUCACGUGAUUGUAAACAAGUUACUUAACUUCCUUCGAUCAUCAUUUCCUAACCUGUAAAAUGGAGGUGACAGCUUCCUAGUUCAUAGUGUUGUUGGACAGAUUGAUAGAGACAAUGUAUGUCUAACGCUGAACCCAGAGUCAGGGCCAGAGUAGACAUCCCAUCAAGGUUGCUCUCUCCCACCUUCUUGCUCCCCACCACCCUGCUGUCCAUGCACUUCCCCUGUGCUCACCUCUUUUUAUGUGGGACUCUUCAGCUACUUUCUCUAGGGCUGUGUAAUCCAUGUGGUGGCCCUGUGUUUUGUUAGCCCCAGGGCUACAAAUCAACGGCCUCAGUGAUCACACUUCCAGCCAGUGGCCUGAUGUCUUAGUUGGGUUCCCCCAGAACUGGCACCUGAGACAAGGAUUCCAGUGUAGGUGGUUUGUCUGGGAGAUGAUACUAGAAGCCACAGUAGAGAAGGGAGACAGGGCGAGGAAUGACGUGUGAUCAUGCAGGUCACCACUGUGCCCAUCUGGAGCUUAACCCUCAGGGAACUCUAGAAGACAAUUAUUCUAUCCAAGGAGCAAAGGAAUUAAGGCAUACACCUGGCCCCAACAGUCUGUCUUUUCACAGGGGUGAGGGUGGCAUGGCAAUGACCCUCUGACACCUCCUGUGUGCCACAUUCAUGUGCAGGACUGAGAAUGUGUGGCACCAGAGAAGCCUCACGGGCACAGAGCUGCAGGUGCUGGCAUGGAAGGGGUGACAUGGAAAUAUGGGCAAGACACCAACAGCUUCUGCCUCAACUGGUGAACAGCUCCUAAAUUCAUGCCUUCCUGGUCACAGCUUCCACGUUUCCUUGACCAAAGAUCUGUCUGUCCAUUUCUGAUGGAGGGGAGUUGAAGUCUCUAACCAUGACAGUGGAUUCAUCUAUUUCUUCUUGCAGUUCUGUCAGUUUCUGCCUCACAUCGUUUGACUCUCUGUUGUCAGGAUGACCUUGGGCUUAUCUGGCUAAGAGAAUGCAGCAGACAAGACACCGUGCCAGUUCCAAGCCUAGGCCUCAUGAGGCCUUGAAUUCUUCUCCUUUUCUCUCUUGGGUCUUUAUCCGCCACCACGUGAACAAGCUGAGGCCAACCUGUUGGUUGGAGAAAGAGAGACCACACUGAAGAGAGUUGAGCUGUCUUCUGAGGGCAUCCUGUACCAACCAGACCCAGCUAACCCAGCACGAACUGCUGACAACGACUGAGGCCAGAGGAAAUCAAAACUGCCUACCUGAGUCCAGACCACCUGCCAGUCUGAAGAACUGUGAGCCAAGUCAUUGUUUUAACAGCAAAAGUUAUCAGAUACACUUGUGCAGGUAUUUCUUUGGAGUGGUUUUCAAACUGUAGCAUGUAUCAGAAUCAGCUGGUGGGCUUUUAAAAUCACAGAUAGCUGGGCACCCCUGUUGGAGUGUCUGAUUGAGUAGGUCGAUCUGGGUGAAACCUGAACAUAUGCGUUUCUAAUGACUCGGGUCAUGCUAAUGAUGGUCCAAGUGCCAUACUUUGUAAAUCAUAGCUCUAGAGUGUACAACCUAAAAUGGUGUUGCUGGGUCAUGAGUUACAAGCAUUUUUUUAAACAGCUAAUAGACACUCCCAAGCUGCCAUCCAAAGUCAAGUUACCCUCAACUAAAUUUUAAGGGAUGAAAGAAUAAACUACCGAAAGAACACAUUAAAACCAGAUAGUAUGGUACAACAAGUGUAACAAAGGAAACAGCAGCAUGAAAGAGGAAAUGCUCUGAAAUUCUUGUGGUUGGAAGGUUGGGCAGGAAGCUGAUUAACUAAUAGUUAUGACCCCUGAUAUCUACACACCAAAGCACAGAGUAUGAGUGAUGAAGUAAUUUUGAAAGUCUCCCUAGAAAACAGAUAGUAUUGCGUAAUACUAGAUAUUAUAGUAUAGCUUAUACUGCACUGAGAUACGGUGGAAUAGGACUUGUGGCAAGAAGCAGCUCUAGAAGAAAAUUCUUUCUUCCAAAGAAUCAAAGGGGAGAUAAGAUCUUGAAUGUCGGUGCUGAGCCUCAUUUCUCACUUCUUUCCCCUUUGUUUUCCAUGGCCACUUUUAAUUUCUUGAAUGAACCCUCCUCCCUCCUACCACAGGGUCUUUGCUGUUGCUGAUUCCUCUACAUGGGACACUUCCUCCUCUUUCUGUCCAUGCUUGGACCAAGUUAAUUCCCAUUUAUCCUUAAGAUCUUAGAUCUCAUUUUGCCUCAUUAGAAAAACCUUCCCUAAUCUUCCAAUACUAGAUCAAAUCUCACCAUUAUAACCUCUCAACACACUAUGCACCCCUCCUUCACAGCUCUUGUUACAGUUGGAAUUUUACAUUUAUUUGUGUGUUUAUAUGAUUCAUGAAUAUCUUACCCUCCCACCCGUGAUCUCUAGGGGGGCUGGGUAUGUGUCUGUUUUGAGUAACCAUUGUAACCUUAGCACCAACUUUGUCUGGUAAAGAGCAGAUACCCAUAAAUAUGUGUUGGAUGAUUAAGAGUAGGGUUCUGUGAAAGCCUUCAAUGAACCUUAGAUCAAAAGUGCAAUGGGAAACAUUCUGAAGAGGAAAAUAGGAGAGGAAACAGAAGUACUUUCAGGACAUCACACACUAGCAGGUCACAAAUAGCAAUGACGGGCUGCCAGCCAUUUAAACAACCACAUCAAAAGUACUGGCUACUAGAUCUCUGAUCUCCUGGAGAAAAGUUUCUGUUGGUGGACUAGUGGGUUCUGUAUGAGGUCCAGUCAUAUUCAAUAUUUGAACAAGAUGGAAGGCUUACCUAUCUUGUUUGCAGAUGAUAUGAAAGCCAAAAGGUUAUUAUAACAUAGACAGUGACAGAAUUUAGGUUAAAAAUAAUGCCAAUGGAAAUACUAAGCCAGGGGCGCCUGGGUGGCUCAGUCAGUUAAGCAUCCAACUUCAGCUCAUGUCAUGAUCUCAUGGUUCAUGGCCCUGCAUCAGGUUCUGUGCUGACAGCUCAGAGCCUGGAGCCUGCUUCGGAUUCUGUGUCUCCCUCUCUCUCUACCCCUCUCCUGCUUGCACUCUCUCUCACAAAAAUAAAUAAACAUUAAAAAAUUACAACAACAAAAAGAAAUACUAAACCAAAACAGGUAAGAUAAAGGUUAAUCAAUCUUGCAAGUACAUGCUAAAGAAGGGAAGCUAGGUUUGACUAUAUUGUUUAUAUAAAUAAAACAAAACAAAACAAAAAGACUUGAUUGCUGACCACAUACUCAUUAUGAACCAGUCUUGCAAUUCAACUGGUGAAAAUGCCAACUGUCCAGAAGAGGGAAGAUGAUGGGCUCACUUUACCGUGGACCCUGAAGCACAGUGUCUGCUGGUUCUUAGAACCGGUUUGGGGCCCGGAAACCUUAAGAUAUGAAGAAUGAUUAGAGCAGCUGGAGAAGGUUAGCCUGCAAAACUAAACAUUGAGGGAAAACAAAAACUUACCUCACGUAAAGGCAGCCCACCAAAUUCAUACUUCCAACUUCAGAAAAGAUGCUCUUUUUAAAUCUCUCAUGAUUUUUUAUUUCCACAAUUUCUGAUAAAUUCUUUUUAAUAUCUUUGUUGUUUCACUUAUUCCUAUUUUUUCAUAAUUCCUUACUUGUUUUGUGAAUAUUAGGCAUUCACUUCUCUCUUCGAGGAUUCUUUGGGAAACAAACAUACUUUGUUUUCUAUCAACCUUUUUUUUUUUUUUAACCAGGGAAUGGCUUCUUUUUUCUCUUUUCCUAUAGAUUGUCCUACUGCUUUCAUUUGUUUGAGCUAUUUCACUUUUUGAUUAUUGCCAGUGUUUCUUAGAAAUAUUUUCCUUCAUAUGUUUAGGAAAUUUGGUUUGCCGGUUUAUACUUAAUGGAAAUUUUCUUUCCUUCUUACUUUUCCUUCCUUUCCUUUUUCUCUAUUCCUAUCUUUCCCCUCCUCUUUCUGUCUUUACUUUUUAAAGUAAAAGUUUACUUUUCUUCUGUCUGGUUUCUGUGGCUCCCAGUCCAGAGCAAGCUAAAAUAUUGCCGUUCUGGGCUCUUGCCCCAUGGUGAUAGUAAAGAGGCAGCCAACACUUCUGCCAGCUGUUUGGUUAGGUUGCCUCCUAGGUACUUGGCUCUCAUGGAGAACAUUUAUUCUCUGUUACCUUCACAGAAGCUAUACUAUGGGUGGCCUCGACCUGCUUCUGAACUGCUGGAAGUCCACCAGGAACUUGCCUUUUGCUCUCUGCAUGGCUCUGUGCUUCUAUUCCAUUUUUGAUCCAAGGAGAAGUACAGAAGAGUACAUAAAAUAUAUGUACAAAUUUAAAAAGAAUACUAAAAUGAGAGCUCAUUGUGACCACCACUAGCUAUGUCUUUUACAUUUUUGUCUUUGCAUUUUUGUUCUCUUGUUGUCAUGUGCUUGGAGUAGUGGGGCUUCCAGCAAUACCAUCUGAUAG